ACAGCACCUGGCCCUGGUGACCCCCGGUGACCCCCGGCGGGGGUGCCGGGUCCCGCUGUCCGCAGCUACAGAGGCAUUCCCAGCCCCGUGUGUCGGGGACACCGACAGGGACAGUCCAGCUGGCAGGAGGAAAAGUGCGGCUGCAGAGCUGCGGGGGACAUUUAUCCCUAAUCCCUGUGAACGCCCACCCUUCGCAGUAGUGCCGGCGGUGGGACAUUGACCCGCCUUCCCCCGUGCAAGGACGGUUUCCCUGCCCGUGUUUUCCAAGGAAGAAGAGGACUGGAUUUGGUGCUUGUGGACACCUGUGCCACAGGACUGCCUCGAGAGUGUCAGACCUCACUAGAGGAGAAUCCACCAUCCUGAUUUUAAUUAACUGCAGUAGAUGGAAGAGGCAAGAAGGACUAUCAAGUGUUGCUGCCUGUGGAAGAGGUGCUUCUGUUGGGAAGGUUGAGGCUUCUGCAGUUUCUGCUUUAACAUUUCUGCUGCCCUCUGGUGUUUCGGAUAUCCUGAACGAGGAAUCACCUUGGAUGAUUCUGUGAUAUCCAUGGUCGGGAGAGGUGUAAUUACAGAGCUGGCUUGUACAUAACCAGGGUAGAAGAGCGAGGAAAGUGAGGAGGACAUUCCAAAGCAUAUUCACAAGGAUGUUCCUUCGAUUUCUCUCGGAAGACGGAGGAGCUGGGAGGAUACAGCUGCUCAGUUUUUCCAUUGCAGCAGCAAUGUGCUCCCUCCCUAAGGGUGGCAUGAUCUAUGUAUGGCAAUAUACAUGGAGACUGAUGCCUUCCAGAACUCAUCUUGCAGAUAUUUCCAGCAAUUCAAUCUUUAGUCAUUUCACUCAGCAUUUUCUAUCAGUUUCAAAACAAACUAACGACAAUAGCAACUUUCUUCGCUUGGCAAAAAGAAAACAAACCGAGAAGUGGAGUCAUUCCUUUCUACCCAUUUCACCCUCCACAGCUGAAGUCAGCCUGGAUUGGUAUGGCAGGUUUGCUGGGGCACUAUUUACUGUACAGCUGUAGUUUUUUUCCCCAGAAAAUAACAGUGUGAUUAUUUUGAAAAUCGUAUUUGUUAGGCUAUUUUACGCAAUUUAAUUGAAUAAAACCUUGCUGAAGUCAAUAGUGUUGUUCCUGGUCACACCAAGUUAGACUCUGGCCUAGAAAAAAAGUAAAAUGGGAGGUGUCACAUUACAAAAAAAAAUAUAGUGACAUUUGAAGUAAAGAAGAUGAGAUAACCAACUAAAAUACUUGUAGGCUUAUUUUAAAGACAAAAGCAUUAUCUUGAAAAAAUGGUGCAUGACUGUUUCUAAUACAACUUCAAAGUGUCUUUGAAUUGAAAA